UACAGAGGGUGCGAGCGUUAAUCGGAAUUACUGGGCGUAAAGCGCACGUAGGCGGCUUGAUAUGUCGGGUGUGAAAUCCCCGGGCUCAACCUGGGAACUGCAUCCGAAACUGCCUUGCUCGAGUAUGGGAGAGGGAAGUGGAAUUUCAGGUGUAGCGGUGAAAUGCGUAGAUAUCGGAAGGAACAUCAGUGGCGAAGGCGACUUCCUGGACCAAUACUGACGCUCAGGUGAGAAAGCGUGGGGAGCAAACAGG
rnacentral:rRNA from 1 species